rnacentral:rRNA from 1 species
UGAUUCAGGGAGGUAGUAACAAGAAAUAACAACCUAUGUACUUUUGUACUGUGGAUUGUAAUGAGUUCUAACCUAAAAAACUAAACGAGGAACAAUUGGAGGGCAAGUCUGGUGCCAGCAGCCGCGGUAAUUCCAGCUCCAAUAGCGUAUAUUAAAGUUGUUGCAGUUAAAAAGCUCGUAGUUGAAUUUCUAGGCAUCAUUAAAUUUAACAAUCGUUUGUUUAUUGGUGUUUAUCCGACAUUGAACUUAAAUUGGUAUUUGGUUAUCAUUUAAGCGAACUGUCAUUUUACUUUGAAAAAAUUAGAGUGUUUCAGGCAGGCAAUUGCCCGGAUAUCUUAGCAUGGAAUAAUGGAAUAGGACUUUGGUUCAUUUUAUUGGUUAUUGAAUCAUAGUAAUGAUUAAUAGGGACAGUUGGGGGCAUUAGUAUUUAAUUGUCAGAGGUGAAAUUCUUGGAUUUAUUAAAGACUAACUUAUGCGAAAGCAUUUGCCAAGGAUGUUUUCAUUAAUCAAGAACGAAAGUUAGGGGAUCAAAGACGAUCAGAUACCGUCCUAGUCUUGACUAUAAACUAUACCGACUCAGGAUUGGCCAUGUUUAAACUUGGUCAGCACUGUAUGAGAAAUUAAAGUCUUUGGGUUCUGGGGGGAGUAUGGUCGCAAGGCUGAAACUUAAAGGAAUUGACGGAAGGGCACCACCAGGAGUGGAGCCUG